rnacentral:rRNA from 1 species
UACAGAGGUCCCAAGCGUUGUUCGGAUUCACUGGGCGUAAAGGGUGCGUAGGUGGUCGGGUAAGUCUGAGGUGAAAUCUCCGAGCUUAACUCGGAAACUGCCUUGGAUACUAUUCGGCUCGAGGGUUGGAGGGGGGACUGGAAUUCUCGGUGUAGCAGUGAAAUGCGUAGAUAUCAAGUGGAACACCAGUGGCGAAGGCGAGUCUCUGGACAUUUCCUGACGCUGAGGCACGAAAGCCAGGGGAGCAAACGGG